rnacentral:rRNA from 1 species
UACAGAGGUGGCAAGCGUUGUUCGGAAUUCCUGGGCGUAAAGGGCGCGUAGGCGGUCUUCUAAGUCUUGUGUGAAAUCCCUCGGCUCAACUGAGGAACUGCACGGGAUACUGGAAGACUUGAGUUCGGGAGAGGGAAGCGGAAUUCCGGGUGUAGCGGUGAAAUGCGUAGAUAUCCGGAGGAACACCGGUGGCGAAGGCGGCUUCCUGGACCGAUUACUGACGCUGAGGCGCGAAAGCUAGGGGAGCAAACGGG